CCACAUUAAUAAUUCUUGGCCAUAUUUUCUAUAUAGGCUCGGGUUUGCCCCUUGAUGGUUUCCCUUGAGUUUGAAGAACAUUCCUUUGGCCAAUUAGAAGAUAUACAAUUUCCUCGUUUAUUGCGCCCCCUGAGGGCGUAAUUUUCCGAAUUUUUUAUCGAACGCCGUUAAGGUUAGCACCAACAUGUGUGUAAAAUUUGGACUCGUUCCGAUGUCUAAUUUUGGAUUUCUUUGGAUUAUUGAUUUUCCACGUCUAAUUUAGCUCAUAAACCAAUAUUCAAAAUGCUACCGUUUCGUCGUCAAAGGUCGCAUCAAAAAAGUGUUUCGUGCAUUCUUUGCGUGUGCGUCUGAAGAUGUCGUGUGCAAAGUUUUGUGUCAAUUGGUCGGGAAAUGUGGGAGGAGUAGCGAAAAAACAGUUUUGCGGUUUUCGCGAUUUUGCGAAAAAAAUUAUAGACGCAAAUGGGCGUGGCCUAUGCCAAAAGAUGCAGCAGACUCCAGUGAAUAUGUGGGUACAAGUUUUUGACUGUGGGAGGUUCGGUGUGGGAGUUAUAGCCCCAAACGCGUUUUCCCUUGGUAUAGCGCCACCUAGUGUUCGGCGUGUCUGGAUUUUGUCGUCUGCUUAGAACUCAG
ensembl:lncRNA